GACGAACGCUGGCGGCGUGCUUAACACAUGCAAGUCGAACGAUGAUGCCCAGCUUGCUGGGUGGAUUAGUGGCGAACGGGUGAGUAACACGUGAGUAGCCUGCCCCUGACUCUGGGAUAAGCGUUGGAAACGACGUCUAAUACUGGAUAUGACUGCCGGCCGCAUGGUCUGGUGGUGGAAAGAUUUUUUGGUUGGGGAUGGACUCGCGGCCUAUCAGCUUGUUGGUGAGGUAAUGGCUCACCAAGGCGACGACGGGUAGCCGGCCUGAGAGGGUGACCGGCCACACUGGGACUGAGACACGGCCCAGACUCCUACGGGAGGCAGCAGUGGGGAAUAUUGCUCAAUGGGCGAAAGCCUGAUGCAGCAACGCCGCGUGAGGGAUGACGGCCUUCGGGUUGUAAACCUCUUUUAGUAGGGAAGAAGCGAAAGUGACGGUACCUGCAGAAAAAGCACCGGCUAACUACGUGCCAGCAGCCGCCGUAA
rnacentral:rRNA from 1 species